rnacentral:rRNA from 1 species
CAGCAGUCGCCGCGGUAAUACGAAGGGUGCAAGCGUUAAUCGGAAUUACUGGGCGUAAAGCGUGCGUAGGCGGUGAGUUAAGUCUGCUGUGAAAUCCCCGGGCUCAACCUGGGAAUGGCAGUGGAUACUGGCUCGCUAGAGUGUGUCAGAGGAUGGUGGAAUUCCCGGUGUAGCGGUGAAAUGCGUAGAGAUCGGGAGGAACAUCAGUGGCGAAGGCGGCCAUCUGGGACAACACUGACGCUGAGGCACGAAAGCGUGGGGAGCAAACAGGAUUAGAUACCCCAGUAGUCCCUGUCUCUUAUAC